rnacentral:lncRNA from 1 species
UUGUGUGCGCGCGAGUGCGUUUUGUGUGCGUGCGUAUGUAUUGCAUAAGGCCGGUAGAGUUUUACUCGCAAUAAAACUCUUCCAAUUUGGUGCAGCGAGUGUUGCCGCCUGAAAGCCGAGUUCGGUUUCAAGCCAACCUGGACAACUGCUGUAUGAGGCGCUGUUUCUCAGGAGGAUCAGUGGGAAGGCGUCAGGUCAUGCAGAUGAUAGCAUCAAUUUCACAAUGCCCAGCCUUGGUGCCCUCCGUUAAGAGCAAGCCACUUGCGUUCGCCUUCAGGCAGAUGGUUGAUGUCUUCUAGGAAGCAGUUGGGAAGACUACAUUGAUGCAAGAUUCCAGCAAUGCCAUGCGCUGCAUUUAUUGGUCAGGAUGCUCAGAGAAUGGAGUCCCUGCACCUCGUGGUGAAACGUGAACAUUUUCUUUCUUUUGGAAAGCUAAACGUCAUUUGCUGUAUCA